UACAGAGGGGGCAAGCGUUGUCCGGAAUUACUGGGCGUACAGCGCGCGCAGGCGGUCCACUACGUGCCGUGUGACAGACGUCGGCUUAACCGACGUAGGCCAGGGUACACGGGUGGACUUGAGGCAGAGAGAGGGAUGUGGAAUACCCGGUGGAGCGGUGAAAUGCGUAGAGAUCGGAAAGAACACCAACGGCGAAAGCACUCUGCUGGGCCGACACUGACACUGAGAGACGAAAGCUAGGGGAGCGAAUGGG
rnacentral:rRNA from 1 species